rnacentral:rRNA from 1 species
GAUGAACGCUGGCGGCGUGCCUAAUACAUGCAAGUCGAGCGAACGGACGAGAAGCUUGCUUCUCUGAUGUUAGCGGCGGACGGGUGAGUAACACGUGGAUAACCUACCUAUAAGACUGGGAUAACUUCGGGAAACCGGAGCUAAUACCGGAUAAUAUUUUGAACCGCAUGGUUCAAAAGUAAAAGACGGUCUUGCUGUCACUUAUAGAUGGAUCCGCGCUGCAUUAGCUAGUUGGUAAGGUAACGGCUUACCAAGGCAACGAUGCAUAGCCGACCUGAGAGGGUGAUCGGCCACACUGGAACUGAGACACGGUCCAGACUCCUACGGGAGGCAGCAGUAGGGAAUCCUCCGCAAUGGGCGAAAGCCUGACGGAGCAACGCCGCGUGAGUGAUGAAGGUCUUCGGAUCGUAAAACUCUGUUAUUAGGGAAGAACAUAUGUGUAAGUAACUGUGCACAUCUUGACGGUACCUAAUCAGAAAGCCACGGCUAACUACGUGCCAGCAGCCGCGGUAAUACGUAGGUGGCAAGCGUUAUCCGGAAUUAUUGGGCGUAAAGCGCGCGUAGGCGGUUUUUUAAGUCUGAUGUGAAAGCCCACGGCUCAACCGUGGAGGGUCAUUGGAAACUGGAAAACUUGAGUGCAGAAGAGGAAAGUGGAAUUCCAUGUGUAGCGGUGAAAUGCGCAGAGAUAUGGAGGAACACCAGUGGCGAAGGCGACUUUCUGGUCUGUAACUGACGCUGAUGUGCGAAAGCGUGGGGAUCAAACAGGAUUAGAUACCCUGGUAGUCCACGCCGUAAACGAUGAGUGCUAAGUGUUAGGGGGUUUCCGCCCCUUAGUGCUGCAGCUAACGCAUUAAGCACUCCGCCUGGGGAGUACGACCGCAAGGUUGAAACUCAAAGGAAUUGACGGGGACCCGCACAAGCGGUGGAGCAUGUGGUUUAAUUCGAAGCAACGCGAAGAACCUUACCAAAUCUUGACAUCCUUUGACAACUCUAGAGAUAGAGCCUUCCCCUUCGGGGGACAAAGUGACAGGUGGUGCAUGGUUGUCGUCAGCUCGUGUCGUGAGAUGUUGGGUUAAGUCCCGCAACGAGCGCAACCCUUAAGCUUAGUUGCCAUCAUUAAGUUGGGCACUCUAAGUUGACUGCCGGUGACAAACCGGAGGAAGGUGGGGAUGACGUCAAAUCAUCAUGCCCCUUAUGAUUUGGGCUACACACGUGCUACAAUGGACAAUACAAAGGGCAGCGAAACCGCGAGGUCAAGCAAAUCCCAUAAAGUUGUUCUCAGUUCGGAUUGUAGUCUGCAACUCGACUACAUGAAGCUGGAAUCGCUAGUAAUCGUAGAUCAGCAUGCUACGGUGAAUACGUUCCCGGGUCU